UGAUAAGAAGAGGACUUAAACCUCU
rnacentral:tRNA from 1 species